UACGUAGGGUGCGAGCGUUAAUCGGAAUUAUUGGGCGUAAAGAGCUCGUAGGCGGUUUGUCGCGUCUGCUGUGAAAACUCAGGGCUUAACCCUGAGCUUGCAGUGGGUACGGGCAGACUAGAGUGCGGUAGGGGAGACUGGAAUUCCUGGUGUAGCGGUGAAAUGCGCAGAUAUCAGGAGGAACACCGGUGGCGAAGGCGGGUCUCUGGGCCGUAACUGACGCUGAGGAGCGAAAGCGUGGGUAGCAAACAGG
rnacentral:rRNA from 1 species